rnacentral:piRNA from 1 species
CUUGUUAACCUGAAAGAAUGAAGGC